UCAAGCUAAAAAGAGCGCAGGGUGGAUGCCUUGGCACUAAGAGCCGAUGAAAGACGUGAUAAGCUGCGAUAAGCUACGGGGAGGAGCACAUAUCCAUUGAUCCGUAGAUUUCUGAAUGGGGAAACCCGGCUGAGCAUACCUCAGUCACCGUGCACUGAAUCCAUAGGUGUACGGAGGGAACCCGGUGAACUGAAACAUCUAAGUAGCCGGAGGAAGAGAAAGAAAACUCGAUUUUCAAAGUAGCGGCGAGCGAAAUGGAAAGAGCCCAAACCGGAGUGCGUGCACUCCGGGGUUCGGACUGCAUUUAUGACUUCUGACUGUAGCGGAACGGUUCUGGAAAGACCGGCCAGAGAGGGUGAGAGCCCCGUAGGCGAAACGGAAAGAAGCAGAGCAGGAUCCAGAGUACCACGAGACACGAGAAACCUUGUGGGAAUGAGCGGGGACCACCCCGUAAGGCUAAAUACUCCUUAGUGACCGAUAGAGCAGAGUACUGUGAAGGAAAGGUGAAAAGGACCCCGGGAGGGGAGUGAAAGAGAACCUGAAACCCUGUGUUUACAAACUGUGGAAGUACCAUACGAGUACAACCGCGUACUUUUUGUAGAACGGUCCGGCGAGUUACGUUUACUGGCGAGGUUAAGCACUUAAGGUGCGGAGCCGAAGGGAUACCAAGUCUUAACAGGGCGUAAAGUCAGUGUACGUAGACCCGAAACCGGGUGAUCUACCCAUGUCCAGGCUGAAGUUGCCGUAAAAGGCAAUGGAGGGCCGAACGCACAUCCGUUGAAAAGGGUGGCGAUGAGGUGUGGGUAGGGGAGAAAUUCCAAUCGAACCCGGAGAUAGCUGGUUCUCCUCGAAAUAGCUUUAGGGCUAGCCUCGUAUUAGUCUUGCGGAGGUAGAGCACUGAAUAUCCUAGGGGGCGUCAAAGCUUACCGAAGAUUAUCAAACUCCGAAUGCCGCGUAGAUGAUGUACGGGAGUCAGACUGCACGAGAUAAGUUGGGUAGUCAAAAGGGAAAGAGCCCAGACCACCAGCUAAGGUCCCAAAGUGCGUGUUAAGUGGUAAAGGAUGUGGGAUUUCGAAGACAACUAGGAUGUUGGCUCAGAAGCAGCCAUACAUUCAAAGAGUGCGUAAUAGCUCACUAGUCGAGAGGUCCUGCGCCGAAAAUGUCCGGGGCUAAAACACGACACCGAAGCUGUGGAUCCGAAAGGAUGGUAGAGGAGCAUUCUUAAGUCGACGAAGCUGUACUGUAAGGAGCAGUGGAGAGUUAAGAAGAGAGAAUGCCGGAAUGAGUAGCGAGAUUUAAGUGAGAAUCUUAAAGGCCGAAUAUCUAAGGUUUCCAGGGUAAAGCUGAUCUUCCCUGGGUAAGUCGGGGCCUAAGGCGAGGGCGAGAGCCGUAGUCGAUGGAUAACAGGUUGAAAUUCCUGUACUGCUUAUGGACAGAACUGUGGGGACGCAGAAGGAGAGCACGAGCCGGAAAUGGAAAAGCCGGUACAAGCGUAUAGCAGUCAUGCAGGCAAAACCGCAUGAAAAAUGUAAAGCGUUAUGUGGAUCGAACAUUAGUAGAGAAGCGUGUGAGCCAGCUGCCAAGAAAAGCCGCUAUUGUUUCAUAAGUACCCGUACCGUAAACCGACACAGGUGGAUGAGGAGAGAAUCCUAAGGCCGGCGGGAGAAGUGUUGUUAAGGAACUCGGCAAAAUGACUCCGUAACUUCGGGAGAAGGAGUGCCACAGAGAUGUGGCCGCAGAGAAAUGGCCCAAGCAACUGUUUAGCAAAAACACAGGUCUAUGCAAAACCGAAAGGUGAGGUAUAUGGGCUGACGCCUGCCCGGUGCUGGAAGGUUAAGAGGAGAUGUUAGCCGCAAGGUGAAGCAUUGAAUUUAAGCCCCAGUAAACGGCGGCCGUAACUAUAACGGUCCUAAGGUAGCGAAAUUCCUUGUCGGGUAAGUUC
rnacentral:rRNA from 1 species